rnacentral:tRNA from 1 species
AAUUAAGAAUCAAAUUUAUUGAGUUCAAUUUCGACUUGAAAUUUAGGUUUAUUUAAUAACCCUUAAUUG